CUAGCGACAGGCCUAACACAUGCAAGUCGAGGGGCAGCACAAGGAGCAAUCUGAGGUGGCGACCGGCGCACGGGUGAGUAACACGUAUGCAACCUGCCUGUAAGCGGGGAAUAACCCGUUGAAAGACGGACUAAUACCGCAUAAUACUAAAUUACUGCAUGGUAAUUUAUUUAAACAUUUAUGGCUUACAGAUGGGCAUGCGCAUGAUUAGCUAGUUGGAGAGGUAACGGCUCCCCAAGGCAACGAUCAUUAGGGGUUCUGAGAGGAAGGUCCCCCACACUGGUACUGAGACACGGACCAGACUCCUACGGGAGGCAGCAGUGAGGAAUAUUGGUCAAUGGACGAGAGUCUGAACCAGCCAAGUCGCGUGCAGGAAGAAUGUUCCCUAUGGAUUGUAAACUGCUUUUGCAGGGGAAUAAAGUGCAUCACGUGUGAUGUUUUGUAUGUACUCUGCGAAUAAGGAUCGGCUAACUCCGUGCCAGCCGCGGC
rnacentral:rRNA from 1 species